GUAGUCCACGCCGUAAACGAUGAUAACUAGCCGUUGGGGGGAUUUACCCUUUAGUGGCGAAGCUAACGCGUUAAGUUAUCCGCCUGGGGAGUACGGCCGCAAGGUUAAAACUCAAAGGAAUUGACGGGGACCCGCACAAGCGGUGGAGCAUGUGGUUUAAUUCGAUGCAACGCGAAGAACCUUACCUGGUCUUGACAUACACGGAACUUUCCAGAGAUGGAUUGGUGCCUUCGGGAACCGUGAUACAGGUGCUGCAUGGCUGUCGUCAGCUCGUGUCGUGAGAUGUUGGGUUAACGUCCCCGUAACGCUGAG
rnacentral:rRNA from 1 species